ensembl:lncRNA
GGCCAGAUUUUCAAAAUAAGACUAAAAUAAACCUUCGUUUUAUUUUUUUGAAACUUUUUUUGUGUGGGGAACAUUUUACCGCAUGAGGAAUACUGCUAAUAUUUACCAAGAAGCAUCUUCCUGGGGGACAUUUGGUCUGCAGGCAGCCGGCAGGAGAAGGAUUCACAUAAUAGCAGAAGUACAAUGAAGAAAUACUCUCUCUACAGCGCCGACCAACCUCCAGCGGCGCGGCCUGCACCUGACCGACAGCCAGAAGAAGAGGUCAAAGGGUCAAGCUCCAUCCCGGGCUGUACGGAUGGAGGGAUGGAGGCACGGGGAUGCUGAACCAAGACAAAGGUUUAUUAAAGGUGCUCAGGAACACCCUCUUUCUCCUGCACGGGGGCCGCCAACACCAACAAGUGCUGAAAGUUCCUUUUGCUGGAGUUCAGUUAGAUAUGACCGAGGCUGAUUUUACCCCCAAUCUCAUUACAAUGUUGCAUUUGGAAGAUUAGGCCUGAGAACAUGGACGUUAUUGUGUGUGCUCUGCUCAAGGUUUUCAAUUCUGCAACCAGGUCAACACUGCAUGAGGAACUGUUGUGAUACUUCUUACACAAUGUACAUAAAAUGUACCAGUGUUAGCGAGAAAAGGGUGUUUUUUCCGAAGUUAUGACUUGGGCUGUUUUUGCUUCGUAUUAUGUCUUCAAAUAACCAUUAUUGAUUUCACUGCAGAUUAAAAUCAAUAACACAUCAGAGAACAUUGUCAAGCCAAGGUGACGACAGAUGAAAAGAAACUAAAGGCAACAAAUCUAAACAACUGAGAGGAUCCAAACACCCAAAUGUUUUGGCACAAACUUGACUGAAGGUUCAUUGUUUGCAUCAUCAUAUUUUUCUGUUUUUUAAUGCUUUCAUGUGCAUCUUUUUCUGAGUACUUUGGGAGAAUCCCAAAUACAGUUACUGCUCUCAUCACUAUUACGACAAGAUUCAUGAAAGCAGCAGAAAUAACAUCCGUUUAAUGCUCAUGUUCCCCGUGGUUCCUUCUGCACCCGCGGCCCCCCAUCAACGCUCCCAGUGCGCCCCGGUGUCUGCCCCAUUAUCUUCAAAAGUCAUAGGGAGCUUCUCGCGCACCAAUCAGCGCCUGCGGCUGCUCCCAGGCGC